UACGAUCAUUAAAUAAAAAACAAAAAAAUACAGAAAUGUAGAGAGUGUUGGUCGAACACAUGACCCGAAUAUCAUUAAUUGAAGAGAGAAACCAUUGUACCACAGUACAUUUAUGUUUUAUGAUACGAUUAUUUAGUAUAUAUCCAUAUUUAUAUAUUAUAUUAUUAAAAACUACUCCCCGAUUAAUCGAAUUGAUUCGGCGCUAGGCCCGGGUAGACCGCACGCGUUGCGCCUAGCGUAUUCCCG
rnacentral:lncRNA from 1 species